GUUGAAAUACCAGUUCCCAUAUGAUCACUGAAGUUAAGCAAUAUUGAGCCUGGUCAGUACCUAGAUGGGUGACUACUUAUGAAUACCAAAUGUUGA